rnacentral:tRNA from 1 species
GGAGAGGUCGCAUAGUGGUCUAUUGCAUCAGUUUCGAAAGCUGACGCCGCAAGGCUUCGUGGGUUCGACUCCCACCCUCUCCG